GACGAACGCUGGCGGCGUGCCUAAUACAUGCAAGUAGAACGAGUGGCGGACGGGUGAGUAAUGUCUGGGAAACUGCCUGAUGGAGGGGGAUAACUACUGGAAACGGUAGCUAAUACCGCAUACCAUCAGAUGUGCCCAGAUGGGCUUGGCUUGUUGGUGGGGUAACGGCUCACCAAGGCGACGAUCCCUAGCUGGUCUGAGAGGAUGACCAGCAACACUGUAACUGAGACACGGGCCAGACUCCUACGGGAGGCAGCAGUGGCGAAUAUUGCACAAUGGGCGCAAGCCUGAUGCAGUCAUGCCGAGUGUAUGAAGAAGGCCUUCGGGUUGUAAAGUACUUUCAGCGGGGAGGCGUUACCCGCAGAAGAAGCACCGGCUAACUCCGUGCCAGCAGCCGCGGUAAUAC
rnacentral:rRNA from 1 species